rnacentral:rRNA from 1 species
AAGAACGAAAGUUAGAUGAUCGAAGGCGAUCAGAUACCGCCCUAGUUCUAACCGUAAACUAUGCUAACUGGCGAUCCGUCUGCGUCAUUCCCACGACCAGGCGGGCAGCCCCCGGGAAACCAAAGUUUUUGAGUUCCGGGGGGAGUAUGGUUGCAAAGCUGAAACUUAAAGGAAUUGACGGAAGGGCACCACCAGGAGUGGAGCCUGCGGCUUAAUUUGACUCAACACGGGAAACCUCACCAGGCCCGGACACCGGAAGGAUUGACAGAUUAAGAGCUCUUUCUCGAUUCGGUGGUUGGUGGUGCAUGGCCGUUCUUAGUUGGUGGAGCGAUUUGUCUGGUUGAUUCCGAUAACGAACGAGACUCUGCCUUACUAACUAGUCGUUGGAUGGUCUCUCGCAUCGGGCUUAGCCGGCGGUUAAGGCGUCUUCGCGCGCUCCCGCGGGGUCUGGCGGCGUGGGGUUACGUGGCGUUGUUCGACAGCCGUUUGCGCGGGUGGGUUUCCCAUUUCGCGUUUGCGGUUCCCUCGGCUUCGUCGCGCCCUCGUCCCGCCCGCGUUUCGAGUCGCGAGGUGCUGCGUCGAUCUCGGUGCGAGGGCGUCUUUGGCAAUUCUUCUUAGAGGCAUCGGCGGUGUCCCAGCCGUAAGAAAAAGAGCGAUAACAGGUCUGUGAUGCCC